rnacentral:lncRNA from 1 species
AUGACAACAGAUGAGUCACCAGUUCUUUUUUUUCUUUUCUCAUCUCUCUUUCAGGUUAGCGCAGAGUUUCAGAGGAUCACCCCACUGAAUCUUGAGCCAAAAUUCAUGGCAAUGUUGGACUUCUAUACACCUAAACUGCUGUCCUUGUUUCAAACGAAGAAAGGUGCUGCAGGAGAGAGACAUCGGGCACAAAUGUGUGUUCUACUUAAGAGUGGAAUCCCCAUUCAACAGACCGUGAGGUUGUCAUCCCAUGUCUCAUCAAUCAUUUGGGAGAAGAUGCCAGUGCCUUGUUCAAGGACUUUGAGGAUGCUGCUGAUGGAUCUGCCAGUGUUCAAGAGGAGUUGGCAGAAGAGGUCAUGAAGAUUUACCUGCUGCGGAAACAAGAUGGGUCAUUGGAUGUUGGGAUUAUCAUUGAGGGCAACACUGUCCUCAGCAGUCUUGGAGAUGUUAGCAGGGCCUGCUGCUAUCUCUUGGGACUGAUGUACGUGUUAGAUCUGCAAUACCCCAAGAACCUCAAACAUAGUUUUGAGGUAUUCCAGAAAGUACUGCUGGAGCUGGAUUCUGGAAACCUUUCCAACAAGGUCCAGAGACUAAAGAAUUACCUCUGUAUGUAGCGACUGGCUACUGUUCAGCAAGAUGCUCUCUUAGUGAGGGAUUUUUUCAUUGGCAAGUCUGAAGUUUAGCUGAUGUACUGUUGUCUUAAUGUUUACAUAAGACUUAAGGUUUCCAUUCAUAGUGAAAUUGCAUGUUGGACUGUUCUUGUUUUCUGAUGUGGAACUUUAAUGUGAAAUAUCAACCUGGAAAUCUCAACUGGCAUUACAACUCAUGGUAU